UGUUUUUGGCGAAUGCACCAGUUUACAGGUUUAUUAUUUUCAUUGAUUGGUAAGCAAUUGCAUAAUUUAAUUACAUAUACAUAUAGACUUAAUGUACUAAUAAGACUAGGUAUAGUAAGUGUAAUAGGCCUAAAUACAUUAAAACAAUUUAAAAUGUCAAGUUGGUUGCGUACACGUAGAUGGAUGUGUAUGAGACGAUUGUCGUAAAGAAUAAUAUGCAACAAUGGUAAUUUUUGAGGUUAGAACGAAAAACGUGUUCGCGUUACAUUUCUUACGAUCGAAGUAGCUUAUAAAAGUUUUGUGUUGGUGUAAUAUUGACUAAAAACGUAAGAUGGCCAGUUUUGAAAAUAAGCAACGUCUAAAAAUACUAAUGGAUCAAAUUCUUUCGGAGGAAGAAAGUGAGCCAUAUGAAGGUUCUUCCGAUGAUAACGAAUCUAGUGAAGAUACCAGUUUAUCAUCUUAUAGUAAAGAAUCUCCUAUUAUUAAAAGAAGAAAAAAAACUUGUUCACCAGUUGGUAGUGCAAUCAAAUCUGAAAAUAGUCCAUCUACUUCCACCGGCCAUUUUACUUAUAAUUCGUCAGACGCAAAAGACUUGUUAAAAACAACUAAUUUGAAAUGUCAUAAAAAUCAAAUUGAAGAAGUACACAAUCGACAAGAACUUUUAUUUGAUACAACAAAUGAAUCUUUCAUACAAGAAAUGAAAAUCGAAAAUGUGAUUAAAAAUUUUUGGUUGGACAGUAGCUCAUCCGAAGACAAUGAUGAUCAUUUACCUCUGAUCUGGAGACCUGUGUCUGGUGAAAACUUAAAAGAUAUAAAAUAUCACGUUAACAACGCUGGAAUACCAACUCACCUUUUUGACAACAUGACUGAAAAGAAACCUGUUGAUUUUUAUUUACUUUUUUUAACCGAAAAUAUAAUAGAUACGAUGGUAGAGGAAACGAACAGAUAUGCCAGUCAGAAAAAAGAGUCGGGUACCAGGUUACCUAAAUCCAGGCUCAACAAAUGGAAGGAAACUGACGCCGAAGAAAUGAAAAUAUUUAUCGGCCUUCAGCUCUGGAUGGGACUCUGUCAUCUACCACAUCUGUCCGAUUAUUGGUCUAGAAAAAAAAUAUAUUCUAAUCAUGUGGUGGAUAUAAUGUCUCGAAAUCGAUUUGAAGUUCUUUUGGCUAACUGGCAUUUCUGUGAUAAUAGUACGAGUGACCAAGCGAAUCACCUUUUUAAAAUAAACUCACUUACUGAUCGUCUUAGUGAGAACUUUAGACAGUAUUAUAAUCCGAAAGAAAAUACUUGUAUAAAUGAGACAUUGGUGUCGUUUUGUGGACGAGAGUACGUCAAAAAUAAAAAACAUAAAUUUGGAGUAAAACUUUACAAACUAUGUGCGGAAGGCUAUACCUAUGAUUUUAAGAUCUAUUGCGGCUCAGAAAGAAACUCAAACGAAAGUGUUGCAACGCAGAUCGUAAUGAGUCUAUGCAGCCCACUUCUUGAUAGUGGAAGGACGAUUUAUGUAGAUGAUUACUUCACGAGUGUUGAAUUGGCUCACAAGCUUCUUCAACGAAAUACACAUCUGGUAGGUAUAUUGAAAAAGAACAGAAGAAACAAUCCAAAGGAAGUCAUCAACAAAAAAUUAGAACGGGGAGAGAUUUUCAGCCGAGAAAGCAACACAGGAGUGAUUGUGAGCAAGUGGCAAGAAAAACAAGAAAUCUUGACUCUAUCAACAAAACACCUUGGAAAUUUAAUAAAAGUUAGUUCUGGCCGUAAUCCCGAAGCUGAAAAACCAGACGUUAUUGUCGAUUAUAAUAAAUGCAAAUCAUUUAUUGAUUUGUGUGAUGAAGUCAAAGCUUAUUCAACAUCUCUACGUCGGGGUAUCAAAUGGUACCGAAAAUUAGCAGUGGAACUGCUUUUAGGAUCAGCUGUAGUGAACGCGUAUUUACUAUAUAAAUCAGUAACGAGCAAAAAAAUAUCAAUUACUUGCUUUCGAGAAGAAUUAGUAGAGAGUCUCUUGAAAUUAAACGAGAAAGAGGAUGAAAAUAAACAUCAAACAAAGAAGCCAGAAAGGCACUUCCUUGAAGAUGUAGGUACUAAUAAUAGGGGCAGAUGUGUAUUAUGUUAGGGCCAACUUGUGAUAGAAAUGGGACGAAAAUUGGCCUCAUCAAAAGCUCCACGAUCAAGGUACAGAUGUCGUCAAUGCGAAAAACAUUACUGUGUUUUAUGUUUUACCAAUUUUCAUGAAUGUACAACGUCAUUUUAAGAUUAAAAUGAAAUAUUAGAAUUAACGACGUAUUUUUAGUUCAUAUUUUCUUAAGUAUAUUUUGCCUAUUUUAAAAUAAAAAAAUUGUUUUAUAAAAUGUUGUUAUUUACAAUACCCACAAAUAGACUAAACAAUUCUAGGUCUGUAAAAUACUUAUAUAAAAUAUAAUCAACAUGCUCACUGGCCGUGUCUUUCACUCCCACGUAAAAUUAUAUGUAGUUGCCAUGACGCAGGAACGGUACACAGUUUAAAUCGGUAUUUUGAGGUGUAACACGUAUAUGGGUCACGCGGCCCGUUGAACUCUCCGUGACGCAUCCGUACGUCAUACGGCGGUUAACGAAUUCAAUAUUAGUCGAGCAAAAUAAGGUGAAAGCUGAAAAACCGUCCAGACAACAUUAAAUUUUCUUUGAAACAUCAUAAUUCGUUUGCUAUACGUUCAUUACUUCUUUACAUAUAUUAUUGGUGGUGCAUUUAAUAAUUAUUACCUGAAUACGUAAACAUUUAACUUGAUAUAUCGAAUAAAUACAUUGAGUACAAUUGAGAAGAUGCUGGAAAUGGUUGUCUUAAAUUUCUUGACACAAGAACAGUCAGUGCAAAAUUUUACGCCGAACAUUUUCAAAUACACUAACAUUGAGAUAUUUACAAAUAUUCCGUCGUUAUUUUCCGUCGUAAAUCCAAUACUGGAGCAGGUUCAGUUUCGUACACUUUUUGCUUCAAAUAGCCCCAUAAAAAAAGUCUAGAGAUGUCAAAUCUGGCGAGUGAGCUGGCCAUUCCACAGGUCCUCGACGGUCAAUCCAACGACCGGGGAAAUUUUUAUCUAAAUAGUUCCGAACUUGUCGGAAGGAGGGUGGUGGAGCUCCAUCUUGCUGGAAUACAAUAUCCAUAUCGAAUUCAUUAGAAUUCGUUUCGACAGUCUCGGUGAUUAGAGGAUUAAUAGUAUUUUCCGAUAUCUAAAUGUAGUUCACCUGUUAAAUUUUCUUCGAUGAAUAAAGGCCCCACAAUAUGUAAUAGGAUAUAAAUGAUAGUCACAAUACUGAAGGAAGGCAGUUCUACUGUUAAAUUACUUACGAUUUACGGCAGAUCUACCAGAGAUAAAGCAAUAUU
rnacentral:misc_RNA from 1 species